rnacentral:tRNA from 1 species
AAAGGGAGACCUAAUUCAGGUAGGAGACGAAAAAAAAGUAGUCGCUACCAAGAAUCAAUCCCAAAAGGUCGGAGCGAGACGAAAUUGGCUUUCAAACUAGGUUCUGGGUUCAAACAAGACCUGAAUCAGGAACAAGGGCUAUUAGCUCAGGUGGUUAGAGCGCACCCCUGAUAAGGGUGAGGUCCCUGGUUCGAGUCCAGGAUGGCCCACCUGCACAGGUGGCAAAAACAAGAGAAGCGAGGAAUCAGCACCUUAUCUUACUUAUAUAGUAAGAGAGAAUGCUGGCUCUGAGUAAAGAGUCCAGAGGAACCUUGAAAACUGCAUAGAGCUAGGUGAAAAAGCCAAAAAAGAAGACCGCAAG